rnacentral:rRNA from 1 species
GAUGAACGCUGGCGGCGUGCCUAAUACAUGCAAGUCGAGCGAACAGACGAGGAGCUUGCUCCUCUGACGUUAGCGGCGGACGGGUGAGUAACACGUGGAUAACCUACCUAUAAGACUGGGAUAACUUCGGGAAACCGGAGCUAAUACCGGAUAAUAUAUUGAACCGCAUGGUUCAAUAGUGAAAGACGGUUUUGCUGUCACUUAUAGAUGGAUCCGAGCCGCAUUAGCUAGUUGGUAAGGUAACGGCUUACCAAGGCGACGAUGCGUAGCCGACCUGAGAGGGUGAUCGGCCACACUAGAACUGAGCCACGGUCCAGACUCCUACGGGAGGCAGCAGUAGGGAAUCUUCCGCAAUGGGCGAAAGCCUGACGGAGCAACGCCGCGUGAGUGAUGAAGGUCUUCGGAUCGUAAAACUCUGUUAUUAGGGAAGAACAAAUGUGUAAGUAACUAUGCACGUCUUGACGGUACCUAAUCAGAAAGCCACGGCUAACUACGUG